rnacentral:rRNA from 1 species
CCGCGAUAGGUCACUACUUCUGGAAUGGGUAAUGACUCAAACCUAUAUGGCCCCUGGAUUGGACUGCGGCCGAUCAGGCUGUUGGUGAGGUAAUGGCCCACCAAACCUGUAACCGGUACGGGCUCUGAGAGGAGGAGCCCGGAGAUGGGCACUGAGACAAGGGCCCAGGCCCUAUGGGGCGCAGCAGGCGCGAAACCUCUGCAAUAGGCGAAAGCCUGACAGGGUUACUCUGAGUGAUCUCCGUUAAGGAGAUCUUUUGGCACCUCUAAAAUGGUGCAGAAUAAGGGGUGGGCAAGUCUGGUGUCAGCCGCCGCGGUAAUACCAGCACCCCGAGUGGUCGGGACGUUUAUUGGGCCUAAAGCAUCCGUAGCCGGUUCUACAAGUCUUCCGUUAAAUCCAGCUGUUUAACAGAUGGGCUGCGGAAGAUACUAUGGAGCUAGGAGGCGGGAGAGGCAAGCGGUACUCGAUGGGUAGGGGUAAAAUCCGUUGAUCCAUUGAAGACCACCAGUGGCGAAGGCGGCUUGCCAGAACGCGCUCGACGGUGAGGGAUGAAAGCUGGGGGAGCAAACCGGAUUAGAUACCCGGGUAGUCCCAGCUGUAAACGAUGCAGACUCGGUGAUGAGUUGGCUACAUGCCAUCUCAGUGCCGCAGGGAAGCCGUUAAGUUUGCCGCC